rnacentral:tRNA from 1 species
AACUAGAUGAGGUUCAUUGUGGGCUAUUAGCUCAGGUGGUUAGAGCGCACCCCUGAUAAGGGUGAGGUCCCUG